UCCGGUGGGGGUUUGCGCCUUCCUUUAUGGAAUUUUGGAAAUAAAUUUGUACGCCUUUGCUUUUUGAAAUAGAGGGAGUAUUUAUUUUUAAAGUGUAUUUUUAAAACUGGAAGCUCCAUCCUUGGAAAUUUGGAGGUUUGUCCAAAAAAAUAGAAGUCCAUCCUAGAAAUUUGAAAGUUUAUAAAAAAUUAGAAUGUUUGUCCUUGAAAAUUUGUAAGUUUGUCAACAUUUGUUGAAAAGAUCAUCCACAAUUUAGAAACCUCACUCUUCUUCUUCAAAAAUAAAAAAAUGAAAUAAAUCAAAGCCACUUGAAAUAAAUUUCAAAAGUUUUCAGAAAAAACUUGAAACUCAUCUAUAAAAAAUUAUAAACUCCACCUUCCUCAUCAAACUAAAAGAUCAUCUCUGGAAUUUACGAAAGUCUGGUUAGCAUUUUUUCUUCAAAUCUAUACCGGGCGAAAUGUUGUUCAAACUGACCGCGUUGAAAUUAAAUGAUGAAGUUGCAUGCAUAUACAAAUGCUCACAUAUAUACAUCACUUCUUAGCUUCCAUGAGUUGUAACUUUGAAAUUAACGGACUACUUGAUUUGGUUGAAUGCUUUCUUUUCAAAGCAAAUGUUCCAUUUCAAUCUGCUAUAGAAGCUUGACUGGUUGUUGGUCCCAAUAGGAAAUAGGAAAUGAAAAAUCUACUUCUGGCAUAUACUUUCUCUUUGUGCACCUCAUCUUGCUCUUCUCAUCUAACUCCACCAAUGCAAUGGUUAGAGCAAUUGUAUUUCCCCUCGAUAGGACGUUUUUUUUUAUUGUUGUUCAUUUCUGUCUUCGUGAAAUUUACUCUGGAAGUAACG
rnacentral:lncRNA from 1 species